rnacentral:rRNA from 1 species
AAAUUGAAGAGUUUGAUCAUGGCUCAGAUUGAACGCUGGCGGCAGGCCUAACACAUGCAAGUCGAACGGUAACAGGAAGCAGCUUGCUGCUUUGCUGACGAGUGGCGGACGGGUGAGUAAUGUCUGGGAAACUGCCUGAUGGAGGGGGAUAACUACUGGAAACGGUGGCUAAUACCGCAUAACGUCGCAAGACCAAAGAGGGGGACCUUCGGGCCUCUUGCCAUCAGAUGUGCCCAGAUGGGAUUAGCUUGUUGGUGAGGUAACGGCUCACCAAGGCGACGAUCCCUAGCUGGUCUGAGAGGAUGACCAGCCACACUGGAACUGAGACACGGUCCAGACUCCUACGGGAGGCAGCAGUGGGGAAUAUUGCACAAUGGGCGCAAGCCUGAUGCAGCCAUGCCGCGUGUAUGAAGAAGGCCUUCGGGUUGUAAAGUACUUUCAGCGGGGAGGAAGGUGUUGUGGUUAAUAACCACAGCAAUUGACGUUACCCGCAGAAGAAGCACCGGCUAACUCCGUGCCAGCAGCCGCGGUAAUACGGAGGGUGCAAGCGUUAAUCGGAAUUACUGGGCGUAAAGCGCACGCAGGCGGUCUGUCAAGUCGGAUGUGAAAUCCCCGGGCUCAACCUAGGAACUGCAUUCGAAACUGGCAGGCUUGAGUCUUGUAGAGGGGGGUAGAAUUCCAGGUGUAGCGGUGAAAUGCGUAGAGAUCUGGAGGAAUACCGGUGGCGAAGGCGGCCCCCUGGACAAAGACUGACGCUCAGGUGCGAAAGCGUGGGGAGCAAACAGGAUUAGAUACCCUGGUAGUCCACGCCGUAAACGAUGUCUACUUGGAGGUUGUGCCCUUGAGGCGUGGCUUCCGGAGCUAACGCGUUAAGUAGACCGCCUGGGGAGUACGGCCGCAAGGUUAAAACUCAAAUGAAUUGACGGGGGCCCGCACAAGCGGUGGAGCAUGUGGUUUAAUUCGAUGCAACGCGAAGAACCUUACCUGGUCUUGACAUCCACAGAACUUUCCAGAGAUGGACUGGUGCCUUCGGGAACUGUGAGACAGGUGCUGCAUGGCUGUCGUCAGCUCGUGUUGUGAAAUGUUGGGUUAAGUCCCGCAACGAGCGCAACCCUUAUCCUUUGUUGCCAGCGAUUAGGUCGGGAACUCAAAGGAGACUGCCAGUGAUAAACUGGAGGAAGGUGGGGAUGACGUCAAGUCAUCAUGGCCCUUACGACCAGGGCUACACACGUGCUACAAUGGCGCAUACAAAGAGAAGCGACCUCGCGAGAGCAAGCGGACCUCAUAAAGUGCGUCGUAGUCCGGAUUGGAGUCUGCAACUCGACUCCAUGAAGUCGGAAUCGCUAGUAAUCGUGGAUCAGAAUGCCACGGUGAAUACGUUCCCGGGCCUUGUACACACCGCCCGUCACACCAUGGGAGUGGGUUGCAAAAGAAGUAGGUAGCUUAACCUUCGGGAGGGCGCUUACCACUUUGUGAUUCAUGACUGGGGUGAAGUCGUAACAAGGUAACCGUAGGGGAACCUGCGGUUGGAUCACCUCCUUACCUUAAAGAA